rnacentral:rRNA from 1 species
CCUACGGGAGGCAGCAGUCGAGAAUCAUUCACAAUGGGGGAAACCCUGAUGGUGCGACGCCGCGUGGGGGAAUGAAGGUCUUCGGAUUGUAAACCCCUGUCAUGUGGGAGCAAAUUAAAAAGAUAGUACCACAAGAGGAAGAGACGGCUAACUCUGUGCCAGCAGCCGCGGUAAUACAGAGGUCGCAAGCGUUGUUCGGAAUCACUGGGCGUAAAGCGUGCGUAGGCUGUUUCGUAAGUCGUGUGUGAAAGGCGCGGGCUCAACCCGCGGACUGCACAUGAUACUGCGAGAAUAGAGUAAUGGAGGGGGAACCGGAAUUCUCGGUGUAGCAGUGAAAUGCGUAGAUAUCGAGAAGAACACUCGUGGCGAAGGCGGGUUACUGGACAUUAACUGACGCUGAGGCACGAAGGCCAGGGGAGCGAAAGGGAUUAGAUACCCUUGUAGUC